rnacentral:rRNA from 1 species
GAUGAACGCUAGCUACAGGCUUAACACAUGCAAGUCGAGGGGUAACGAGAGGGAAGCUUGCUUUCCUUGUCGACGACCGGCGCACGGGUGAGUAACGCGUAUCCAACCUGCCUAUAACUAGGGAAUAACCUUGCGAAAGUAAGACUAAUACCCUAUGAUUUCCUUUGAUGACAUCAGAUUAGGAAUAAAGAUUUAUCGGUUAUAGAUGGGGAUGCGUCUGAUUAGCUUGUUGGCGGGGUAACGGCCACCAAGGCAACGAUCAGUAGGGGUUCUGAGAGGAAGGUCCCCCACAUUGGAACUGAGACACGGUCCAAACUCCUACGGGAGGCAGCAGUGAGGAAUAUUGGUCAAUGGGCGGAAGCCUGAACCAGCCAAGUAGCGUGCAGGAUGACGGCCCUAUGGGUUGUAAACUGCUUUUAUACAGGAAUAAAGUUAGCCACGUGUGGUUAUUUGUAGGUACUGUAUGAAUAAGGACCGGCUAAUUCCGUGCCAGCAGCCGCAGUAA